ACCAACAGAACGACUUACUCUAGCAGGGCGCUCUCGGAUCCCCGGCUUCACGGCGUGCUCCAGGACGCCUACCCACAAGCUCAGGAUAGGGGUCUCUCCCCGGCCAACCUCGCCCAGGUAGCCCCGGCCCUGGGGCGUUCCCACCGCCCGCGCCGGCCUGGCCAGGAGACUGCGACCCACACCCGCGGGGCCCGCGGACGUAGCACACCCCCUGGUGGCGGCAUCCGGGGAUGGAGCCGGCACCCGACCACUCAUUCCAAGCCCACCAGCGUCCCUUGCAACGCAGGACCCCACCACGAGCGCUCAGGGGUCGAAACCCAAGCAGAGGGCGGCGGGACACCAGAGCGAGGCCAGGCCCCGCUUGUCCGGCUUAGCUUCCCCCAAACUGCUCGAACCCCCGAGCACUGCCCGCCACGCCUCGAGGAAACGCAAGGAGGUGAGCCCAGUGACAACCGGAGGACACGACAGAGUGUCAUCAUGCCGAGCAUGGAAACUUCCACCCCCAGCUCUGGCACCAAGGAGAUUUCAACAGAACCAGAUUUUCCACAUUUCCUGGGCCCGCUGAUAGACCAAGGCCUGGCUAAACAUUUCCUGGCUGUUGUUCCCUUUUGUUAUAAACGGAAAUGCUGCUGCGCAAAGCGGGUGGAGCAGGCUAGCUCCCCUCCAACUUGGCCAAAUUGUGAAUAAACUCAG
rnacentral:lncRNA from 1 species